GGGUGAUUAGCUCAGUGGUAGAGCAUCUCGUUUACACCGAGGGGGUCGGCAGUUCAAACCUGUCAUCACCCACCA
rnacentral:tRNA from 1 species